rnacentral:rRNA from 1 species
UACGGAGGGUGCAAGCGUUAUCCGGAUUCACUGGGUUUAAAGGGUGCGUAGGUGGGUUGGUAAGUCAGUGGUGAAAUCUCCGGGCUUAACUCGGAAACUGCCGUUGAUACUAUCAAUCUUGAAUAUUGUGGAGGUAAGCGGAAUAUGUCAUGUAGCGGUGAAAUGCUUAGAUAUGACGCAGAACACCAAUUGCGAAGGCAGCUUGCUACACUACUAUUGACACUGAGGCACGAAAGCGAGGGGAUCAAACAGG